rnacentral:rRNA from 1 species
AUUGAACGCUGGCGGCAGGCCUAACACAUGCAAGUCGAGCGGAGCGGCGGACGGGUGAGUAAUGCCUAGGAAUCUGCCUGGUAGUGGGGGAUAACGUCCGGAAACGGGCGCUAAUACCGCAUACUAUUGGAGCGGCCGAUAUCGGAUUAGCUAGUUGGUGGGGUAAAGGCUCACCAAGGCAACGAUCCGUAGCUGGUUUGAGAGGACGACCAGCCACACUGGGACUGAGACACGGCCCAGACUCCUACGGGAGGCAGCAGUGGGGAAUUUUGGACAAUGGGCGAAAGCCUGAUCCAGCCAUGCCGCGUGUGUGAAGAAGGUCUUCGGAUUGUAAAGCACUUUAAGUUGGGAGGCGUUACCAACAGAAUAAGCACCGGCUAACUUCGUGCCAGCCGCCGCGGUAAUUC